rnacentral:rRNA from 1 species
GAUGAACGCUGGCGGCGUGCCUAAUACAUGCAAGUCGAGCGAACAGACGAGGAGCUUGCUCCUCUGACGUUAGCGGCGGACGGGUGAGUAACACGUGGAUAACCUACCUAUAAGACUGGGAUAACUUCGGGAAACCGGAGCUAAUACCGGAUAAUAUAUUGAACCGCAUGGUUCAAUAGUGAAGGACGGUUUUGCUGUCACUUAUAGAUGGAUCCGCGCCGCAUUAGCUAGUUGGUAAGGUAACGGCUUACCAAGGCAACGAUGCGUAGCCGACCUGAGAGGGUGAUCGGCCACACUGGAACUGAGACACGGUCCAGACUCCUACGGGAGGCAGCAGUAGGGAAUCUGCCGCAAUGGGCGAAAGCUUGACGGAGCAACGCCGCGUGAGUGAUGAAGGUCUGCGGAUCGUAAAACUCUGUUAUUAGGGAAGAACAAAUGUGUAAGUAACUAUGCACGUCUGGACGGUACCUAAUCAGAAAGCCACGGCUAACUACGU